GAGCAACAGGGACGAGUCAGUGAGUCAGUUGGGCUUGUGAAUCAUGAUUCACGAGUCAGUAAAGUUUCUCCAGUAUUGAACGAUUCGUUCAUGAUUCGCGCAUCACUAAUGGAAAGCGCGCUGGAAGAGAGAGGUUGGUGAAAGAUCAUCCAUGCAGUGCUGCAAGAUUAGUAGCGUGAGUUCUCAAAUUUAUUCAGUAAGCUGUAAAGGAAACUCUACUUUGGCAGCCGAGCACUUCAUGUUAUCUGUGGACCAGGCAAUUGUGAAUGGCCAUAUCACUAUCUUCAGCGACGCACUUAUCCUGAUGUUUGGCUCUUACUACUGCACGAACAUUUCUUAUCCAGUAGCCCAGGCAGCAACCUUGGAAUUCUUGCAACGAUGCCUUAAGAUAAACCCCGACAAGGGAUCCAAAGUGGAGUGGAACACGUCUAAGAAAAACCUUGCAGUCAAUCCAAAGGUUCUGACGUUGAUCGCCAAAAUUGCGGACUACCGUUCGAGCACUUCCUCACGGCGCCAGAAUUGUGUUGCUUGUGUCACUCUCUCCUGGUGCUGCUGUCAUAACGAAUCAUCUGAACUUCAUCAAUUAUCCCUGUGGACCCGGCUCUGGGGACUCGGGGUCCGUGAGCAGUGUGGGCUAUUAUUAUUAUUAUUAUUAUUAUUAUUAUUAUUAUUAUUAUUAUUAUUAUUAUUAUUAUUUGGUGUGUGUGUCAUCUGCACUGCUACUGUUCUGUCCACAUUUGUAUGUAGGCAGUUGUGUGCGUGUGUGUGUGUGCAUGUGUUUUCUGUGGCCAAGUCACAGGCACCUUCAGGCCUGGUGGGUGUGGCCCUGCUAGGGGACUGGCCACACCCAAAGUCCUUGCCACACACCUGCUGCUGAUCUGGGCUCGUCGGGGGAGCUAUUUAGGAGAGCGAUGGAGUUUCCACCGAUGCGGGAUUAUUGCGUUAGACUUCACGAGGAGUGUGGAACGAGAGAGAGCAGUGAGCACGGGGAGUGCAGAGACACAGGAGCAGAGAGCACUAAACAGGGACUUUUUGGGAAGAAGACACGACACAGGAGUAAAGGGGGAGCACGGGGAUUUAUUGUCAUUUUCGC